rnacentral:piRNA from 1 species
UGCAGGUCAAGCCAAGAGGAUGGGCUCU